UGAUGUGAGUGGGAACUGACAGCAACAUCUGCUACUCCAUUGAUGGCCAGGGUUGGUUUGGUUGAUCUGGCUGGCUAGGCAGGUAUCUCUUCCCUCUCUUACUGCUCCGUGUGUGUCCCUCCUGAGGCUCCAAUGCUGGUUGCCAGAGUCUGACCUUCCCCAACAGAGGAGGACAGUUCUUCAGUCAAGUGUAAACCAGAAGCUGUACACCCCUGAGAAAACUUCUAGAAGAAGCUCUGCAGAGAAGAAGAGUAGAGGUUCUAGGAUGUGUUAUGGGAUCUCAAGGAUAGGGCUGUUCUAGUUUGCUUUUCUGU
rnacentral:snRNA from 1 species